UGCCAGCAGCCGCGGUAAUACGGAGGGUGCAAGCGUUAAUCGGAAUUACUGGGCGUAAAGAGUACGUAGGCGGCUUUACAAGUCGAGUGUGAAAGCCCUGAGCUUAACUCAGGAACUGCAUUCGAUACUGUAUCGCUAGAGUUUAUUAGAUGAUAGCGGAAUUCCAGGUGUAGCGGUGAAAUGCGUAGAUAUCUGGAGGAACACCAAUGGCGAAGGCAGCUAUCUGGGAUACAACUGACGCUGAGGUACGAAAGCGUGGGGAGCUAACAGGAUUAGAUA
rnacentral:rRNA from 1 species